rnacentral:lncRNA from 1 species
CUAUCUGAUAAAGAUUGCAGUUCGGUACAGUUUUCAGUGACCAAACGGGGUCGAAACUGAACCAGUGAUCGUCAGCUUGUUAAGUUAAGUAAAACCGAACAUGACUGUCAAGUUUGAGCUCAAACGGACAUUCAGGGAGCUCCGGCGAAAGUUAUCAGAUUUUAAGUUGCCUGGAUGAAUAAUGUGAGGGGGUUUCCUGCAAUUGUGGCAGCCCCAUAUGUGGUGCGGCUGCUUGGCCGAAGCAUCACACGCACACACACCUUCUCUUCUCCUUCUCUCCCUCACACUUGCAACCAUGGAGAGCUCUCUCUCUCUCUAGGAAUAAGAAGCCAAGAGAGGGGUUUUGUGAAGCUUGGAAGUGAUCUUCAUCAUCUUCUUCCUCUCCUUCAAGCUUGGAGGAAUCUUGUGAGGUAAAGCUCUAACCCUUUAAUGGCAUUUCUCUAUUGCUUGGGUUUUAAGCUCUAGAAACGAAUUAAAAGCUUUCCUAGAUGCUAAGUAGAAAAAUACCUAUUGAAACCUAGAGCUCCAAAAUGAGAGCGUUAAUGGUAGAUCUCUAAAGAUAGAUCUAAAUGCUUUGGAAAUGGUUUUAGUGGAACCCAUUGAUGCCUAAUAGAUGAUUAAUACUUGAAUCAUAGAGCAAUUUAAUGAUUUCUUGCAUAAUUGUAAACCUAGGGCUCAAAAUGCAAACUUUCAAAAUAUGAGGGUUUGAUCUCAUUUGACCCUCCGUAAACCAAAUUGCUAGGUAACGAAACGCGUUGGCGAAGACGGUUCGGCAAUCCGAUGAGCCGUUACAAAGUUAUUAAAGAAAUAGACGUUUAGGCUUCGGGUCCGCCGGGAGGGCCGAGGCGAUAUCGUAAAUUCAUGAAAAUGGAUUUGAAGCAUCGUGGCACAUAACCGAAGACCUUUAAUUUUCGGAUCGUGAAUUGGAGGCCGUUCGGGUGGUCGCGCGAGAGAUCGGGCCAAACCGGGUGCCGGGUGCCGCGGGCGGCCGAUUGCAAGUGUCGACAAGCAAUCGGAAUGCGAAAUGAGGUGGGUUGUGCUUACCGAAGCGACUAGGUCGCCCUUUAUGUCUAAGAAAUGAGAUUUCAUAUUGAUGCAUAUUGACAUAAUAUAAGAAUGUGAAAAGAAUGCAUGUUAACAUACUAUAGAAAUGCUAAAUAAAUGCAUAUGAUUAAUGCUUUGAAUGCAUAAUAUAAAGGGCGUAUGAAUGUUAGCAUUAUAAGAACAUCAUAAAAGGAAUGUAUGAUGACAUGUUGUAGAAUAUGCUAAAUGUAAUGCAUAAUGAAUUAAGUGCUAAAAGAAUGCAUGAGAUGCUAAGUAUGGACUAUUUUGGAUAAUGACUAUAUGUAUGUUGACAAAUCAUGUGAUGCUAGUGGUAUAUGUGCAUGAUGAUAUAUUAUGAAUUUACAUAUUGUGGAUUAUGUUAAAUAGAAAAACAUACUUGAUGACAUAUUGCCAUGUUGUGGAACAUAGUGGACAAUCUAUAUAUAUAUUAGAUCGAGUGGCAUUAAACCUAGCAUCUUGAACCUAGCAAACACUUGUGGUGAUUGAUCAUAUAUAUUCUGGUGUCAUUCAUGUAUGUUAGGACCCUAUUAUUGUGUAAAUGUGAGAGUUGGACUUGAACAUUAGUAAACAAGGGUGACAAUGACAAUAGAGACAUGAUUGGCAUCAAGAAAGUGAUUGUUAAACAUAGUUUAACCAUAUUGACAUUGGUCCAAGUUGACAUAGAGAGUGGCAUGAUUAAAUAGGUAGAGACCUAUCAUGACAUUGGCAUUGUGACGAGUGGCUAUGAAUCCUCAAGUUGAGGAUUGGAUCGAUACUCACGUUACGUCUUGGCUUGAGGGAGGUAGCUCCCCCUCGGGCGGUGCGCUCCGGAGUUGGUCACCACUGGGCGUGGUAAAGUCCCACCAGUUGACGGUCCCUAGGGAGGUUCGAGUCCCCCGUUAUUAAGGGAUUUGGUUGUGAGUUAUUGGGGUUAACAUGGUUAACCGGUAAGAUUGGGUCAUAGCCAAAUGAGUGUACAACAAGUAUGCAUUAUGAGUUAUGGAUUUGGUAUCCUAGUCGAGAGGAUUUAGGGCUGAGGUGUAUGUGAGACGUCCAUCGCCUCGAGCCUGGUUCUAGUGCGGUACUCCGCAGACGAUUGACUCAAGACCGAGUCGGGUGGUUAGCCUUGUAAAGGUAGAUGAAACUUUAUGAUUAAAACGGUGAUUGACAAGAAUCUAAGAUAGAGGAAACCUUAGAUAUCGAAUGGAUGAGCUAUGGUUAGCAGAAUUGAAAGUAGUGUCAAAUGAACUACUAGUUGGUUGCAUAGUUGCAUUAUUGCAUGAUUUGCAUAUAGCAUUGCAUUAUUGCAUUCGUGAGGCAAUGCAUGGUUUUAUUCGUUGCAUAAUCAAGAUAUAUAUCUAUCUGUUUAUUGAACUAACUUGCAGUUGCCUCCCUUGGACCUAUUGGUCGAGCUUUUCCCUUGGGUGGCCGUACCCACUGGGAACCAUGGAGUUGGUUCUCACCCCACGUGGUUUUGGGGUGUUACAGGUUCACACGUGAGCGGCGCGGCGGCGCGAGGCGAGGGCGUAGCAUCAUAGUUAGCGCCCUACCACCGAGACCAGAGAUAGCGGUACCCUGAGUCGGCCUUACUUAGGGAUGCAAGAAAAUGAAAAGGAUCAAGUUGUAAUAAUAUUGUUAAAGCUAGAUUGUAUUUGGAAGCUAAAAAGAAUGUAUUAUGUAAUUGUGAUGUAAAAUGAAUCUAAUGUGAAUGAAUGUAAUAAUAUAGGAUGUGUUUAUGUUGUUUGAUACCUUCCAUUAUGCAAUCUUGAUUGAAAUGUGUUCCUGGUUGGAACUUCGUACAUUGUAUUGAUUGCUAUGCCUUGAACGUACAGGGGAGACUCUGUCCGCAGUACAGGGGAAACCCUGUCCGUUCGGCGAUCUGUUGCGGCGCCGCGACCCGGCCAAAUAGGCGGGCGGUCGCGGGGCGUGACAGAUAAGAUGGUAUCAGAGCAUAAAAGAGAACAUAAAAAGAAUAAUAGAAAAUGGUUUAAUUGGACCUAGGAGACCCUAGGAUAGUAAACCAUAGGAGAUUAAGGAUCGUGAGAGACGAGGACUUAUUUCUAUUGGCGAAAGAUAAAUUGAUUGGGUUAUGUUGUACACCUCUAAAACGGAUGUUAGAGGUAGAUUUAAGGUGUGGUUUAUUCUCAACAGAGGGUGUUCUUGUUGGGUGCACACAACAUGAAGCCGAGUGAUGAGAAUAGACGACCUUGCGUGACUUUCGCCCGAUUUGAGUCGGUAUUAAGUGUCUUGUGUUCGACCUAGAAGGUCGAGGAUUAAUAGAGUUGUCGCGUUUUAGGAAGCGAUAGCACCGCGUAGGUUAUCUUCAUUUAGAUCGGCGCGGGAUGGGUCGAGUGGUGUCCCUGGGCAAGUUGAGGCGAGCGGAGACUUGGAACUUCGCGAGUUUUGGCGGCCCUUGUGACCUUUGAGAAAUUAACAGAAUCCUUAUCGUGUUAGAUCACUUUUGGUCAAGUUGGACAAAGUGCGUCGAGAGAAGUAGUUGGACAAAAUCCAAUUUACAUUCCAAUGAUGUUGGAAGGGUUAGAAUUGAGUUCUAAAAGAGUUAAAAUAGUUUUAGCGUUGCUCGGCGCGAAUCGGAGUCGAAGCGAUGCAAAACCGAAAUUCUGGAACAUGUGUUACCGGUUUGACACUAGGGGUGUACCGGUGCAGUGUGGUUGUAACGAAGUGAAUUCUCGAGAGCCGAGAGUUGGACUUCGUCCAGGAUCGGCUAGUUGUCGAGCGGGUAUGUAAUAUACCGAAACUUCGGUAAGCGAACAUCGAACCUUGGUCAAAUUGGCCAAAGAGCGAGGUUGGUACGCUUCGAAAAGGCCGAAGGCGUCACAUAAUGCAAAAGUGCAUUACUGGGGAUCUUCGAGAGCUUUGGAAAUCAAAAUCUGCAAGACUGCAGCUUUUGUGCUCUCGGGGACCGGUCCCUGGUGGGAGAGACCGGUCCCCGCACGCGCAGACAGCGAAAGGGAGAAAAAAAUCGGCUAAGUCCCUGGUGGACAGCUCUCGGAGACCGGUCCCUGCUGGAGAGACCGGUCCCUGAGAGACCGGUCCCCCAAAGCGAGACCGGAUGCAUCGGGCGUGAGCUCUGCUGACUGCGGGGAGAAGCUCUCGGAGACCGGUCCCUCGUCGGGGAGACCGGUCCCCGAACCAGAAAGUGGCCCAGUGAGGGCAAUGUAAAAGAAUAAAAGUUGAGGGGCUUGUUUGCACUUAUGCAACAUGUGGGGCUAUGUGAGGGGUAUGAGAGCUCUUUUCUCUUAUUUCUCACCCACACACCCUCUCAUAUCU